rnacentral:rRNA from 1 species
AUACGGAGGAUCCGAGCGUUAUCCGGAUUUAUUGGGUUUAAAGGGUGCGCAGGCGGCCAUUUAAGUCAGCGGUUAAAUCGUGGGGCUCAACCCCAUUCUGCCGUUGAUACUGGGUGGCUUGAUUGCGGUCGAGGUUGGCGGAAUUCGUUGUGUAGCGGUGAAAUGCAUAGAUAUGACGAAGAACACCGAUUGCGUAGGCAGCUGACCAGACCGCAAAUGACGCUCAUGCACGAAAGUGCGGGGAUCGAACAGGAUUAGAUACCCUGGUAGUCCGCACAGUAAACGAUGAAUACUUGUUUUCGGCGAUAUAAUGUCGGAGGCAAAGCGAAAGCGAUAAGUAUUCCACCUGGGGAGUAUGCCGGCAACGGUGAAACUUAAAGGAAUUGACGGGG